rnacentral:rRNA from 1 species
GACGAACGCUGGCGGCGCGCCUAACACAUGCAAGUCGAACGAGCGAGAGAGAGCUUGCUUUCUUGAGCGAGUGGCGAACGGGUGAGUAACGCGUGAGGAACCUGCCUCAAAGAGGGGGACAACAGUUGGAAACGACUGCUAAUACCGCAUAAGCCCACGGUGCCGCACGGCACAGAGGGAAAAGGAGCAAUCCGCUUUGAGAUGGCCUCGCGUCCGAUUAGCUAGUUGGUGAGGUAACGGCCCACCAAGGCGACGAUCGGUAGCCGGACUGAGAGGUUGAACGGCCACAUUGGGACUGAGACACGGCCCAGACUCCUACGGGAGGCAGCAGUGGGGAAUAUUGCACAAUGGGGGAAACCCUGAUGCAGCGACGCCGCGUGGAGGAAGAAGGUCUUCGGAUUGUAAACUCCUGUUGUUGGGGAAGAUAAUGACGGUACCCAACAAGGAAGUGACGGCUAACUACGUG